rnacentral:miRNA from 1 species
GGCGUCGAAUAUCGACGUCAUAAACACCAAAGUUGAUCGUGUUUAUGACGUCGAAUAUCGACGUCAUAAACACCAAAGUUGAUCGUGUUUUUGACGUCGAUAUUCGACGUC